rnacentral:rRNA from 1 species
AAGCAUAUCAAUAAGCGGAGGAAAAGAAACUUAACCAGGAUUCCCCUAGUAACUGCGAGUGAAGCGGGAAAAGCUCAAAUUUAAAAUCUGGCGGUCUCUGGCUGUCCGAGUUGUACACUAGAGAAGUGUUUUCUGUGCUGGACCAUGUACAAGUCUCUUGGAAUAGAGCGUCGUAGAGGGUGAGAAUCCCGUCUCUGACAUGGACUACCAGUGCUCUGUGAUACACUCUCAAAGAGUCGAGUUGUUUGGGAAUGCAGCUCAAAAUGGGUGGUAAAUUCCAUCUAAAGCUAAAUAUUGGCGAGAGACCGAUAGCGAACAAGUACCGUGAGGGAAAGAUGAAAAGCACUUUGGAAAGAGAGUUAAACAGUACGUGAAAUUGCUGAAAGGGAAACGCUUGAAGUCAGUCGCGUCGGCCAGAACUCAGCCUUGCUUCUGCUUGGUGCACUUUCUGGUUUGUACGGGCCAGCAUCGAUUUUGACCGCCGGAAAAAGGCCAGGGGAAGGUGGCACCUCUGGGUGUGUUAUAGCCCCCGGUCGCAUACGGUGGUUGGGAUCGAGGCACUCGGCGCGCCUUCACAGGUUGGGGUUCGCCCACAUACCGCGCUUAGGAUGCUGGCGUAAUGGCUUUAAGCGACCCGUCUUGAAACACGGACCAAGGAGUCUAACAUGCCUGCGAGUGUUUGGGUGGUGAAACCCGAGCGCGUAACGAAAGUGAAAGCUGGGACCUCUGUCGUGGAGAGCACCAGCGCCCAGACCGGACCUUCUGUGAUGGAUCUGCGGUAGAGCAUGUAUGUUGGGACCCGAAAGAUGGUGAACUAUGCCUGAAUAGGGUGAAGCCAGAGGAAACUCUGGUGGAGGCUCGUAGCGAUUCUGACGUGCAAAUCGAUCGUCAAAUUUGGGUAUAGGGGCGAAAGACUAAUCGAACCAUCUAGUAGCUGGUUCCUGCCG